rnacentral:rRNA from 1 species
AUUAGCUUGUUGGCGGGGUAACGGCCCACCAAGGCAACGAUCAGUAGGGGUUCUGAGAGGAAGGUCCCCCACAUUGGAACUGAGACACGGUCCAAACUCCUACGGGAGGCAGCAGUGAGGAAUAUUGGUCAAUGGGCGAGAGCCUGAACCAGCCAAGUAGCGUGCAGGAAUGACGGCCCUAUGGGUUGUAAACUGCUUUUAUAAGGGAAUAAAGUGAGCCUCGUGAGGCUUUUUGCAUGUACCUUAUGAAUAAGGACCGGCUAAUUCCGUGCCAGCAGCCGCGGUAAUACGGAAGGUCCGGGCGUUAUCCGGAUUUAUUGGGUUUAAAGGGAGCGUAGGCCGGAGAUUAAGCGUGUUGUGAAAUGUAGAUGCUCAACAUCUGCACUGCAGCGCGAACUGGUUUCCUUGAGUACGCACAAAGUGGGCGGAAUUCGUGGUGUAGCGGUGAAAUGCUUAGAUAUCACGAAGAACUCCGAUUGCGAAGGCAGCUCACUGGAGCGCAACUGACGCUGAAGCUCGAAAGUGCGGGUAUCGAACAGGAUUAGAUACCCUGGUAGUCCGCACGGUAAACGAUGGAUGCCCGCUGUUGGUCUGAAUAGGUCAGCGGCCAAGCGAAAGCAUUAAGCAUCCCACCUGGGGAGUAC